rnacentral:rRNA from 1 species
AUUGAACGCUGGCGGCAGGCUUAACACAUGCAAGUCGAACGAGUGGCGGACGGGUGAGUAAUGCUUGGGAAUCUGGCUUAUGGAGGGGGAUAACGGCGGGAAACUGUCGCUAAUACCGCUUACCGUCCGAUGGGCCCUGGUGGGAUUAGGUAGUUGGUGGGGUAACGGCCCACCACGGCGACGAGCCCUAGCUGGUCUGAGAGGAUGACCAGCCACACGUGGACUGAGACACGGCCCAGACUCCUACGGGAGGCAGCAGUGGGGAAUAUUGCGCAAUGGGCGAAACCCUGACGCAGCCAUGCCGCGUGAAUGAAGAAGGCUUUCGGGUUGUAAAGUUCUUUCGGUGGAGAGGCGUUAUCCACAGAAGAAGCACCGGCUAACUCCGUGCCAGCAGCCGCGGUAAUUC